GAUGAACGCUAGCGGCAGGCUUAACACAUGCAAGUCGAGGGGUAUGCUUCUUCGGAAGCAGAGACCGGCGCACGGGUGCGUAACGCGUAUGCAAUCUACCUUUUACAGAGGGAUAGCCCAGAGAAAUUUGGAUUAAUACCUCAUAGUAUUAUAGAAUGGCAUCAUUUUAUAAUUAAAGUCACAACGGUAAAGAUGAGCAUGCGUCCCAUUAGCUAGUUGGAAGGUAACGGCUUACCAAGGCUACGAUGGGUAGGGGUCCUGAGAGGGAGAUCCCCA
rnacentral:rRNA from 1 species